rnacentral:tRNA from 1 species
AUUUAAUUAGUAUAAUCAGUACAUUUAAUUUCCAAUUAAAAAGUUUAAAUAAAAAUUAAAUA